rnacentral:tRNA from 1 species
GCCCGGGUGGCGGAACUGGUAGACGCAAGGGACUUAAAAUCCCUCGGCCGCAAGGCUGUGCGGGUUCGAUUCCCGCCCCGGGCACCA